UGCCAGACUCCUACGGGAGGCAGCAGUGGGGGAUAUUGCACAAUGGGGGAAACCCUGAUGCAGCGACGCCGCGUGAGUGAAGAAGUAUUUCGGUAUGUAAAGCUCUAUCAGCAGGAACGAGACAAGACGGUACCUGACUAAGAAGCCCCGGCUAACUACGUGCCAGCAGCCGCGGUAAUACGUAGGGGGCAAGCGUUAUCCGGAAUCACUGGGUGUAAAGGGAGCGUAGACGGCUGUGCAAGCCUGAAGUGAAAGGCGGGGGCCCAACCCCCGGACUGCUUUGGGAACUGUACGGCUGGAGUGCAGGAGAGGUAAGUGGAAUUCCUAGUGUAGCGGUGAAAUGCGUAGAUAUCAGGAGGAACACCGGUGGCGAAGGCGGCCUGCUGGACUGCAACUGACGUUGAGGCCCGAAAGCGUGGGGAGCAAACAGGAUUAGAUACCCCCGUAC
rnacentral:rRNA from 1 species